GUAUUAGGCAACAACCUUUCCUCCUCGCUGAAAGUGCUUUACAACCCGAAGGCCUUCUUCACACACGCGGCAUGGCUGCAUCAGGGUUUCCCCCAUUGUGCAAUAUUCCCCACUGCUGCCUCCCGUAGGAGUCUGGACCGUGUCUCAGUUCCAGUGUGGCUGAUCAUCCUCUCAGACCAGCUAGGGAUCGUCGCCUUGGUGAGCCAUUACCUCACCAACUAGCUAAUCCCACCUGGGCAUAUCCAAUCGCGCAAGGCCCGAAGGUCCCCUGCUUUCCCCCGUAGGGCGUAUGCGGUAUUAGCAGUCGUUUCCAACUGUUAUCCCCCUCGACUGGGCAAUUUCCCAGGCAUUACUCACCCGUCCGCCGCUCGCCGGCAAAAGUAGCAAGCUACUUUCCCGCUGCCGCUCGACUUGCAUGUGUUAGGCCUGCCGCCAGCGUU
rnacentral:rRNA from 1 species